rnacentral:rRNA from 1 species
UGCGUAGGGUGCAAGCGUUGUUCGGAAUUAUUGGGCGUAAAGAGCUCGUAGGCGGUCUGUCGCGUCGGCUGUGAAAACCCGGGGCUCAACCCCGGGCCUGCAGUCGAUACGGGCAGACUAGAGUGCGGUAGGGGAGACUGGAAUUCCUGGUGUAGCGGUGAAAUGCGCAGAUAUCAGGAGGAACACCGGUGGCGAAGGCGGGUCUCUGGGCCGUAACUGACGCUGAGGAGCGAAAGCGUGGGGAG